rnacentral:misc_RNA from 1 species
GACCUGCGAAUGCAUUUACUUUGGGUAUGUUAAUACUGAAUUUCACAUUGGAUUUGUUGAUAUAUGCAAAUUUUUAUCAUUGUUGGGAGUUUGCAGCUAGUCAAUUUUGUAAUUUAUAGUUGUCCAUAUUAUUAGCUGCAACAGCUUUAUUCAUCUAAAGUAUAUACAGCUUCCCAACGCAGCUAACACUAUGUUUAAAUGAGAGGAAAGAAAAUAAUCGGAGGAAAAUAAAAGAAUACAAUAAUUAGAAAAGAAAAUAACUUUUUCAUUUUAUUUGGAUAUAACUAUAUAAGAGAGAAAAUAUUAAAAGGAAAGUUACUUUUGAACUAUAAAAUUACAAUUUUACCCCCUAAAUAUUCAAAAAGAAGCUAAAAUAUAGAGAUACUUUUGUAAUUUUAAAUAUUUUUCUCCCUCUUUUCCCCCAAUUUGGAUAGAAAAUGGGAGUGGAAUCCAACAUUUAUUUUCCCUUCAAUAUUUUCUUUCCUCCCUACUUUCUUCUUAACCAAACAUAAAUUGAAUAAAAAAUAAGGUUAUUUUCCUCUCAUAUUUUCCUUCCUCCUUUGUUUUCCUUCAAUCCAAACACAGUGUAAAAGACAGUUGGAAGUAAUAUGGACCUCCUGGCUGGUUGCUGCUUCUCUAGCCAUAAAUCAUGAAUGUGCAUCACAACUCAAUUUGCUGGGGAUUACUUUACCUUUUAUAGUAUGUGUGAAUAUUUAACAUUUGAAUCAUUGAGCUUGAAAUAGUUUGCCGUGUGCAUGUUAAGAACAUCUUACCUUCUGGGUAUAUCUUUCCCCUUGCCAUUAUUCAUUCAUAAUAUUUUUUUAUUAAAUGGCAAUAGAAACCAGAUUCUGUCUGAUUUCUCUUCAUUGAAGCAUCAUCUCUUGUGAGAAUCACUUAUUUCUUUCUUGGAUAACUGUUUAACGGUAUCUAAAUCAGUCUAUUUAAUCUCACA